UACGGGGGGGGCAAGCGUUGUUCGGAAUUACUGGGCGUAAAGGGUGCGUAGGCGGUCCGCUAAGUUAGAUGUGAAAACUCUGGGCUCAACCCAGAGCCUGCAUCUAAUACUGACGGGCUAGAGUUCUGGAGGGGGUAGCGGAAUUCCCGGUGUAGCAGUGAAAUGCGUAGAGAUCGGGAGGAACAUCUGUGGCGAAGGCGACUGCCUGGACCAGCACUGACACUGAGGCACGAAAGCGUGGGGAGCAAACAGG
rnacentral:rRNA from 1 species